rnacentral:rRNA from 1 species
CGGUGUUUAACUGGCGUGAUGUGGGACGUCCUACCGGUGGGCUUAGCCUCGCGAGGGGCGGCCCAACUAAUAUCCCGUCGCGGUGCUCUUUACUGAGUGUCGAGUCGGGCCGGUACGUUUACUUUGAACAAAUUAGAGUGCUUAAAGCAGGCUAUCCUCGCCUGAAUACUGCGUGCAUGGAAUAAUGGAAUAGGACCUCGGUUCUAUUUUGUUGGUUUUCGGAACCCCGAGGUAAUGAUUAAUAGGGACAGAUGGGGGCAUUCGUAUUGCGACGUUAGAGGUGAAAUUCUUGGAUCGUCGCAGGACGGACAGAAGCGAAAGCAUUUGCCAAAAAUGUUUUCAUUAAUCAAGAACGAAAGUUAGAGGUUCGAAGGCGAUCAGAUACCGCCCUAGUUCUAACCAUAAACGAUGCCAGCUAGCGAUCCGCCGAAGUUCCUCCGAUGACUCGGCGGGCAGCUUCCGGGAAACCAAAGCUUUUGGGUUCCGGGGGAAGUAUGGUUGCAAAGCUGAAACUUAAAGGAAUUGACGGAAGGGCACCACCAGGAGUGGAGCCUGCGGCUUAAUUUGACUCAACACGGGAAACCUCACCAGGCCCAGACACCGGAAGGAUUGACAGAUUGAUAGCUCUUUCUUGAUUCGGUGGGUGGUGGUGCAUGGCCGUUCUUAGUUGGUGGAGCGAUUUGUCUGGUUAAUUCCGAUAACGAACGAGACUCUAGCCUGCUAAAUAGGCGUACCUUAUGGUAUCGCGAAGGCCCCCGGCUUCGGCCGGUGGGUUUUUACUACCAACGUACAAGCAAAUCUUCUUAGAGGGCACAGGCGG